AGACCACUGGGUAUUGGUCAAACUUUUCUGAUAUUUCAGUCGCUGCAACCAAUGAUGUACAGCUACAUGAUGUUAUCUGGCUGGUCAGAUUGCCGAGCAACCCCGUGGUGGGGUGUUUCUGUAUAAUGGGAAGCUUCUAAGGAUUGGAUAUCUGUGCGUACAAGCUACAAUGGGCCUCAUGGGGUAAACCUGUAAGUUCUGUUGCAGAUGGUUCUAAGCAGUCUCGGUUCGACUAACAAAUGUUGAUGGAUACCAAGUACUACUACCAAUCAUCAAUUUCUAUCAUGUAACUUCUCGGCAUUUUGUAUUCCGGGCUUCAGUUAUAGCAGCCAUUUUGCGUCGAUGGAUAUUGUGUCGAUGGAUAUUGUUUUGUUACACAACACUAUAAGGACUUGAGGUGAUUCGUGGGUUGUAGGGCAUGUGGAGCUUCAUAAUUAUGUUACAUAUUGAAUGUAUCACAAGAUUGUUGUGGUUACUUUUUAUUAUUUGGUUACACGAAGUCAUGGUAGCAAAA